GACGAACGCUGGCGGCGUGCUUAACACAUGCAAGUCGAACGGUGAAGCGCCUUCCUUUUUGGUGGGUGUGGAUGAGUGGCGAACGGGUGAGUAACACGUGAGUAACCUGCCCCCUUCUUCUGGAUAACCGCAUGAAAGUGUUGCUAAUACGGGAUAUUCUGGGUCUGUCGCAUGAUGGGUCUGGGAAAGAUAUUGUUUCGGUGGGGGAUGGGCUCGCGGCCUAUCAGCUUGUUGGUGGGGUGAUGGCCUACCAAGGCGGUGACGGGUAGCCGGCCUGAGAGGGUGGACGGUCACACUGGGACUGAGACACGGCCCAGACUCCUACGGGAGGCAGCAGUGGGGAAUAUGGCACAAUGGGCGCAAGCCUGAUGCAGCGACGCCGCGUGAGGGAUGGAGGCCUUCGGGUUGUGAACCUCUUUCGCCAGUGAAGCAGGCCUGCCUCGUUUGUGGGUGGGUUGACGGUAGCUGGAGAAGAAGCGCCGGCUAACUACGUG
rnacentral:rRNA from 1 species